rnacentral:rRNA from 1 species
AACGAACGCUGGCGGCAUGCCUAACACAUGCAAGUCGAACGAGACCUUCGGGUCUAGUGGCGCACGGGUGCGUAACGCGUGGGAACCUGCCCUUAGGUUCGGAAUAACUCCCCGAAAGGGGUGCUAAUACCGGAUAAUGUCUUCGGACCAAAGAUUUAUCGCCUUUGGAUGGGCCCGCGUUGGAUUAGCUAGUUGGUAGGGUAAAAGCCUACCAAGGCGACGAUCCAUAGCUGGUCUGAGAGGAUGAUCAGCCACACUGGGACUGAGACACGGCCCAGACUCCUACGGGGGGCAGCAGUGGGGAAUAUUGGAAAAGGGGCGAAAGCCUGACCCAGCAAUGCCGGGUGAGUGAUGAAGGCCUUAGGGUUGUAAAGCUUUUUUACCCGGGAUGAUAAUGACAGUACCGGGAGAAUAAGCCCCGGCUAACCCCGU